GUGCUCGAUUUGGCAACACAUAUGCUAAAAUCAGAAGAAUACAGAGAAGAUUAGCAUGGUCCUUGUGCAAGGAUGACACCCAAAUUUGAGAAGCAUUCCAUAUUUUU
ensembl:snRNA U6 U6 spliceosomal RNA